rnacentral:rRNA from 1 species
UACGUAGGCAGCGAGCGUUGUUCGGAGUUACUGGGCGUAAAGGGUGUGUAGGCGGUUGUUUAAGUUUGGUGUGAAAUCUCCCGGCUCAACUGGGAGGGUGCGCCGAAUACUGAAUGACUUGGAGUGCGGGAGAGGAAAGUGGAAUUCCUGGUGUAGCGGUGAAAUGCGUAGAUAUCAGGAGGAACACCGGUGGUGUAGACGGCUUCUGGACCGUAACUGACGCUGAGACACGAAAGCGUGGGUAGCAAACAGG